rnacentral:rRNA from 1 species
AGUGAACGCUGGCGGUAGGCCUAACACAUGCAAGUCGAACGGCAGCACAGGAGAGCUUGCUCUCUGGGUGGCGAGUGGCGGACGGGUGAGGAAUACAUCGGAAUCUACUCUGUCGUGGGGGAUAACGUAGGGAAACUUACGCUAAUACCGCAUACGACCUACGGGUGAAAGCAGGGGAUCUUCGGACCUUGCGCGAUUGAAUGAGCCGAUGUCGGAUUAGCUAGUUGGGGGGGUAAAGGCCCACCAAGGCGACGAUCCGUGGCUGGUCUGAGGGGAAUAUCAGCCAAACUGGAACUGAGACACGGUCCAGACCCCUACGGGAGGCAGCAGUGGGGAAUAUUGGACAAUGGGCGCAAGCCUGAUCCAGCCAUACCGCGUGGGUGAAGAAGGCCUUCGGGUUGUAAAGCCCUUUUGUUGGGAAAAAAAUCCAGCUGGCUAAUACCCGGUUGGGAUGACAGUACCCAAAGAAUAAGCACCGGCUAACUUCGUGCCAGCCGCCGCGGUAA